CCUACGGGUGGCAGCAGUGAGGAAUAUUGGUCAAUGGACGAGAGUCUGAACCAGCCAAGUAGCGUGAAGGAUGACUGCCCUAUGGGUUGUAAACUUCUUUUAUAUGGGAAUAAAACGUUCCACGUGUGGGAUUUUGUAUGUAUCAUAUGAGUAAGGAGCGUCGAACUCCGUGCCAGCAGCCGCGGUAAUACGGAGUAGCCGCGCGUUAUCCGGAUUGAUUGGGUUUAAAGGGAGCGUAGGUGGGUUGUUAAGUCAGUUGUGAAAGUUUGCGGCUCAACCGUAAAAUUGCAGUUGAAACUGGCAGUCUUGAGUACAGUAGAGGUGGGCGGAAUUCGUGGUGUAGCGGUGAAAUGCUUAGAUAUCACGAAGAACUCCGAUUGCGAAGGCAGGUCACUGGACUGCAACUGACACUGAGGCUCGAAAGUGUGGGUAUCAAACAGGAUUAGAUACCCUAGUAGUC
rnacentral:rRNA from 1 species